GUUUCCGUGGCUCAGUGGCAGAAGCGCGCCCUUCGUAAGGGUGAGGUCGCGCGUUCGAAUCGCGCCGGAAGCU
rnacentral:tRNA from 1 species